AGGUUUCCUUUAAACCUUAGGGCCGCCAGAGAGAGAAACCUUCUCUCCUGGUCACUAUGUUGCCGGAAACGGCAAGUUGUCAGGUAACGCGCUUUUAUCUCAGUCUGUGCUUAUAUAUUUCUGGUAAGAGCAUUAAUUGCUCUUACCCUCUGUCCACACACCGUCGUUGAACGACCCCAAACACGUUGGGGCAUUGAGGAGCAAAAGCUUCAAUUCCAAUCUCGAUAAAAGGCUGCACUCGACAAAGGUAAAUAAUUCUCAUUUUGUCACGUCUCAAACAAACGUCAGUGGCACCCACACUAGUUCUAUAGUGGGCGAACUAGUCCCUUAACCUAUUAUCAAGCCAAUUUCAAUUACUUAAACCAAUUAAUAAACGUUGCUCACGAAUAAUAGCAUAAAAUGUCUGACAAUAAAAUAAACUAAAUAGUAAGUGCGGAAGUCUAGCUAUUACAUCCCAAAAAUCUGAAAGUCACUAUACAAGGACUCUAACCAAUAAUGUCUAAAGAAGAAGUACUGUCUAAAAAUAAACAUAACGUCUGGGAUGAAAUAGAUAUCUAAAUUAAGAAAGAUCUUCAGGAUGCAUGGCACGGAUAGGAGCUCACCCUCGGAUAUUGAUACGAACAACCUCAACUAGAUGCGGGGUCUGGAAGACGUCUCUGGCUCAAAAUCUGCACUCACAGAAAAAAUGCAGCAAGUGUAGGUCAGUACAAACAACACGUAUUGGUAGGUAUCAUAGGCCGACUAAGAUUAGUAUACAUACAUAAAAUAAAUGAAAUAGGCAGGUAGGCACAACAAACAUGUAUCUCAAAUAAUAUACUCAAAUAAUCCACUUUCAGAAUAAGUCACCAAUAAUCAACAAUGAAAUACCAGUGCUCAACCCAAAGAAAGUAAAAUAAACAAUGAAGUUCCAACUCUGUCACAUAUUUGUACACACAUGUUAAAUGGUAAUGUUUUUCCCCAAAUAGCCAUGACCUGCAGGGGACCCAUGGUGUCCAUGUACUACUCGUUCCGGAAAGAAUCUCGGACCACGAGCUCACACUAGUCUACAUCGUCACCCCCUAUCAAAUGGCCUUAAAAUAUAUAUAUGUUCCAUCUCAAUCAUCAUCAACGUUUCAUAAUCAAAUCACAAGGAAAGACUCAAGAACACGUAUCAAGUCAACAUCAAUGAAGUAUAGUCAAAUAACACACGUGACAAUAAGACUCACAAAUAAUCUGCUCAACGUAAUAGAAUAUGUCACUGACAGCAACUCAUCUCUGAAGGGUAUAUAUGAACACCUUCCUUUCAACAAUCUCAAGAAUACAAUUCAAGUUUAUCAGCCUCAACAAUGGAGAAUCACUUCAUACAAUUAAAUCAUACAACUAACAACAAUCACCCAAAAUCCAUAUCCGAAGUCCUCGACAUGCUAUAUAGUCAACUAAUCAAAGUCUUACUCAAUUAAACCAUAACCUACCUCGAAGCCGAACUAGAACAACGCAAUCACUUCGCAAUAGCUUUUCAUUUCCUCAAAGUUUCGUAACGUUCAAAGUCUAGAAAUCAUAAUGCUUAAGUAAGUAAUGGAGUAUGAACUCAACUCAUGGGUUCUCUAAUCAUUUUAACCCUACCAAUAUGAUUUUAGCCAGAGUUCCCAUUUUUAUUGGAACCCUAGGUCUCAACAAUCAAUUUCCAUCAUUGAAUAUCAGGUUCUCAUGCUAUGAAGUGAUAAUCUCUACUCUUAGAUGAUUAAACAAUCAGUAAACAACAAUAAACAAUACCCAUUAAUAUUCUAGGGUUUCUUUAAUAGUUGUGCUCUACCCUUCAAUUCCCAUUAAAGGUCCUUUGAUUGAAACAAGAAUCAACUAAGAAAUUGCCCGUAGAAGGUUAGUCAUUAAGGCUUAUCUUUGAUGGAGAAUAGUGCCCUAGCCUUAGAAAGUUGCCUCUAUGCUUUUGGGAACUAUUUUUGGGAUUAUGUGAGGAGUGGGAUCAAAAUAAGGUAUUUAAAUCGAGUUUCUGACUUACUGAGGUCCGCUGCAGCGGUCCCGCUACACUGCAGUGGCCUCGCUACGGCAAGAACUACCCUCACUGUAGCGGCCAUUUGAAAAACUGAACCUUCGCUGCAGCGGAACACCUCCUCGCUGCAGCGUGGCAGUAGGAAUUCUUCCGCUGCAAUGGUGCAAUUUAGGCAGUGAGAUGGCAAAUUUUUCACUUUUUAUACUUAGUCUCUAAAAAUAAUUCUAAGACCUUAUGAACACAAGCCAACAAGCAACCAAGUUAAAAACACAUCACAGAGGCAAUUACAAGUCGCAAAACACAACAUAAAUCACACCCCAAGUUAUUUAGGUCCGCUCAUUCCUAGCUGCGGGAAAGUACUAGCAAGGAUAAAGUGGUAAAGUUACGCAUAACGACCAAGCGGGUCGUUACCCCUUUCCUCAUUUAUUUCUUUGCAUUUAAUUUCUAUUAGCCUUAUAUGUUAGUGUAUUUAAUUUCAAUUUGGCAUGUUAGUUCGUUGCUAGGCUAGUAUACUUGUUUAGCUCAGUUUAGAAUCUUUUUAAUUAUUUAUGAUCUACUUGCUGCAAGGAUCAGUCUGAUUAUUAGCAUAUUAAGCCUGUUGUUAAGUUUAAAUCCAUAGUUUCUGCUCAUUCAAAAUGGUGUUUGAAUGCUUAUGUGUUAAUCAUGUUAGUUAAAUUAAGUUUCAUAUUGGCAUAUUAAUCUGAAUAGAUAUGUUAGUUGAACACAGACAAUGUGUCGUAUCAUGUUUUACUUAAUCAGUGUUUAGAUAUGUUACUCUGGAUUGGUCCUUUAUGCCUAAAUUAUGUUGUAAUCCCCUAUGUAAACAUGAGUAGUCUUUUUACUAUUGAGAUAUAUCUGUAUUUAGUAUGAUCACUUUGGUUUAAUCUAACCUUGACUUGCCAUUUUUGUGUAAGCUUUGGUUGGCUAGUAUAUUGUUUGGUUAUUUAAAGUAUACAAAAUUCAAUUGGGGUUUAGAUGCUGCAUAUAGAGAUAUUAUUCUUAAAGGUUCUUGUUUGAUUCCUAAAAACAUCUAUGUUACAGUUAUAAAUGUGUCAUGUACCUUUGUUUAUCUAAUUUUAUCAUUAGCAAAUUUAAGUGUCUUUUAUCUCUGAUCUGUUUAAAUGGUUGAGCUAUUCUAAUCCUGUAAUAGUCUGUAGGAAGUUUGGGCUUGGUAAAACACUAAAUUGAGUUAUACAUGCCUUGAUAAGUUGAUCUCCCAUAAAUAAAAUGUGAUCAUCAAAUGAAAGAUCAGCACAAGUUUGAUGAAUCGAAAUGUUUGUCUUGACUAUGUGUUUUAUCUCUAUGCACUCUGAGUCUACCUAGCCUGCUUAUGUUCAUUAAAAUGCCUACUCUAACUAAGUUCUGCUAAAAUAUGAUUUCAGUACAACCUUUGAUGCUUCCUUAAAGUCUAUACUCAUACAAUUGGUUAAGUAGUCUUUCUAGCAUCCUUUGUUAUGUUUGAAUAUAUGAGAUUGAUUAUGGUCUUAUGUGUAUUUGGAUAAGCAUGUAUACCUGUUCUGAGAUUUUAUGUUGGUUACAUGGGAUCAAAUAUUCAUUUGUAUGCUAAAACUCCUCUUUCCCCUGCCUUUGCUCAUGUCCCUUUCUCUUAUUCACUUGUAUAUUGCUCCAGAUACCUCGUAUGAACUUGUAAUGUACUACUUUCUUUGAAAGUUUAGUCUAAAUUUAGUAAACAUGACAUUCAACUUAUCUGGUUAGUUCAUUGUAAGUAUUCUAUGUCUAAGGUUAAACUAUUUAGUUUAAGUGUCCACUUGUUGAAAAAAGAUUUGAAAAGCUUAUCCCUUGUCUGUCUGACCUUUUAACCAUGAUUAUAUUAAACUUUACUAAGUGUGAGACACUAUGUGAACAUGUAUGUUUCUUAAAAUAAGGAGGACAGGUGGUUGUCACUUAGUGUGAGUGAAGGCCAAAGAAGUGACUUACCUAGGGCCAGAGAAGGGUUAGAAAGUCUUUGAAUGCAUCCACUCAGCCAAGGACAACCAAUCAUAGGCUGCUGGGGUUCUUCCUUAUGCCUGCACAACAUUAUGGGAUCCUUGAAUCCUCUAAACUUCUUAAGAACUGAAAUAGGAAAGAUCAUAUGGAAAAUGCAUGCUGGAGUACCCUGAAGUUCCUACACAUAUCUGAUAGGCAUUUCUGUUCAUGUUGUGCAUUUUAAAAAAAUGAAAUCUUGCCUUAGAAUUUACAUACUGUCUAAAAAAUGGAAGCAUGUCUUAUCCAUGGUAAAAUUCUGAUAGUACUUGGAUUGGCUUCAAUGAGGAUGCUUUGUUGAAUAUUUGAUCACCUCUGAAUAUGCGAGUGUCAAGGUUGCCUUGCCUGCCCUGUUGUGUUAUUCUUUCGAAUGCUUGAUGUCUAGGAGUAUAAUGACAUAACAUAUUUUAUUUUCUAAAUAAAACCAGUUCUGUGUUUUCUUAAUGAUGGCUUAGUAUGUUAAGUGUCUCAAUACAAAAAUAUGUGUAUUAGAAUCUGGAUAGAACCAUGUGCAACAUCCUCUAAAACUGAACUUUGAUUUCUGUCCUGAUUAGGCUGUUAUACAUAAGAUGUAUAUUUGGAUAUACUAUAUAUAUAUAUAUAGUCUUUAUAUACUCUUGGUAUAUAUGGGCUUGUAUAUCAGGUAUACUAUGGGUAUCCAUUUAUCUGAGCUUCGAUGUUCCUUCUUGUGUAUUAUGUGAUAGUUGUUUGGGCCUGGUUUUUAUUCGUUCUCCCUAUUGGGAUUUCUUUGUGCGAUCAUUGUUAUUUGUGCGUAUUUGGGCUUUUCUUUAUGCACUAUUUCUUUUCUGAUUUAAGCCUGCAUUUUGUCCGAACUUUACCUUAGUAUGGGUUUAUCUUUGUCUUCACUAGUUUUGUAUAAACUUUGAACUAUAUAUAAUGAGUGUAUGUAUAGCAUAUGGUUGUGCAUUUUAAAUUUCUUAUUAUAUGAGUGGCUAAGUGUAGAUACCUUCUAACCGCCUCCCUCCUUUUCCCUCUUUUUGUCUGCAUGGAUAAAUGUCGUGCCCACUUGGGCUGAUUCCUUCAUUCAAAACCUGUUGGACCUGAGGCCCAUCUUUUUUUUUAUUGAGUGCGAAACUGAAAGGAUGAUUGAAGGCCCAACCAUGGGUGAAAAUGGUCAGCUGGUGGGCUUAGGUAGGCCCGCCCACCAGCCUAACCAUUCUCUUUAUUUUUAUAUAUAUUCAUGUAUACUUAGUUUGUAUAAAAAUGUUGUAUAUGUAAACAACACUUGUAAAAUAUUGAAACCCAAAUGUGAUUAGAACUUAGAAAACGCA